rnacentral:rRNA from 1 species
UACUACUUGGAUAACCGUGGUAAUUCUAGAGCUAAUACAUGCUAAAAACCCCGACUUCGGAAGGGGUGUAUUUAUUAGAUAAAAAACCAAUGCCCUUCGGGGCUCCUUGGUGAUUCAUAAUAACUUAACGAAUCGCAUGGCCUUGUGCCGGCGAUGGUUCAUUCAAAUUUCUGCCCUAUCAACUUUCGAUGGUAGGAUAGUGGCCUACCAUGGUUUCAACGGGUAACGGGGAAUUAGGGUUCUAUUCCGGAGAGGGAGCCUGAGAAACGGCUACCACAUCCAAGGAAGGCAGCAGGCGCGCAAAUUACCCAAUCCCGACACGGGGAGGUAGUGACAAUAAAUACUGAUACAGGGCUCUUUUGGGUCUUGUAAUUGGAAUGAGUACAAUUUAAAUCCCUUAACGAGGAACAAUUGGAGGGCAAGUCUGGUGCCAGCAGCCGCGGUAAUUCCAGCUCCAAUAGCGUAUAUUAAAGUUGUUGCAGUUAAAAAGCUCGUAGUUGAACCUUGGGCCUGGCUGGCCGGUCCGCCUCACCGCGUGCACUGGUCCGGCCGGGUCUUUCCUUCUGGGGAGCCGCAUGCCCUUCACUGGGUGUGUCGGGGAACCAGGACUUUUACUUUGAAAAAAUUAGAGUGUUCAAAGCAGGCCUAUGCUCGAAUACAUUAGCAUGGAAUAAUAGAAUAGGACGUGUGGUUCUAUUUUGUUGGUUUCUAGGACCGCCGUAAUGAUUAAUAGGGAUAGUCGGGGGCAUCAGUAUUCAAUUGUCAGAGGUGAAAUUCUUGGAUUUAUUGAAGACUAACUACUGCGAAAGCAUUUGCCAAGGAUGUUUUCAUUAAUCAGUGAACGAAAGUUAGGGGAUCGAAGACG